ACGUAGGGUGCGAGCGUUAAUCGGAAUUACUGGGCGUAAAGCGUGCGCAGGCGGUUUUGUAAGUCAGAUGUGAAAUCCCCGAGCUCAACUUGGGAACUGCGUUUGAAACUACAAGACUAGAAUAUGUCAGAGGGGGGUAGAAUUCCACGUGUAGCAGUGAAAUGCGUAGAGAUGUGGAGGAAUACCAAUGGCGAAGGCAGCCCCCUGGGAUAAUAUUGACGCUCAUGCACGAAAGCGUGGGGAGCAAACAGGAUUAGAUACCCUGGUAGUCCACGCCCUAAACGAUGUCAACUGGUUGUUGGGUCUUCACUGACUCAGUAACGAAGCUAACGCGUGAAGUUGACCGCCUGGGGAGUACGGCCGCAAGGUUG
rnacentral:rRNA from 1 species